rnacentral:rRNA from 1 species
AUUGAACGCUGGCGGCAGGCCUAACACAUGCAAGUCGAGCGAGCGGGGGACGGGUGAGUAAUGUCUGGGAAACUGUCUGAUGGAGGGGGAUAACUACAGGAAACGGUAGCUAAUACCGCAUACCAUCAGAAGUGCCCAGGUGGGAGAAGCUAGUGGAGGGGGUAACGGCUCACCUGGGGGACGAUCCUUCGCUGGUCUGAGAGGAUGACCAGCCACACUGGACCUGAGACACGGUCCAGACUCCUACGGGAGGCAGCAGUGGGGAAUAUUGCACAAGGGGCGCAAGCCGUAUGCAGCCAGGCCGCGUGUGUGAAGAAGGCCUUCGGGUGGUAAAGCACUUUCAGCGGGGAGGCGUGACCCGCAGAAGAAGCACCGGCUAACUCCGUGCCAGCAGCCGCGGUAAUAC